AACGAACGCUGGCGGCAGGCUUAACACAUGCAAGUCGAGCGCCCCGCAAGGGGAGCGGCAGACGGGUGAGUAACGCGUGGGAACGUACCUUUUGGUUCGGAACAACUCCGGGAAACUGGAGCUAAUACCGGAUAAGCCCUAACGGGGAAAGAUUUAUCGCCGAAAGAUCGGCCCGCGUCUGAUUAGCUAGUUGGUGAGGUAACGGCUCACCAAGGCGACGAUCAGUAGCUGGUCUGAGAGGAUGAUCAGACACACUGGGACUGAGACACGGCCCAGACUCCGACGGGAGGAAGCAGUGGGGAAUAUUGGACAAUGGGCGCAAGCCUGAUCCAGCCAUGCCGCGGGAGUGAUGAAGGCCUUAGGGUUGUAAAGCUCUUUUGUCCGGGAAGAUAAUGACUGUACCGGAAGAAUAAGCCCCGGCUAACUUCGUG
rnacentral:rRNA from 1 species